UACGUAGGGUGCGAGCGUUGUCCGGAAUUAUUGGGCGUAAAGAGCUCGUAGGCGGUCUGUCGCGUCGGUCGUGAAAACUUGGGGCUUAACCCUGAGCUUGCGGUCGAUACGGGCAUGACUGGAGUUCGGUAGGGGGAGACUGGAAUUCCUGGUGUAGCGGUGAAAUGCGCAGAUAUCAGGAGGAACACCGGUGGCGAAGGCGGGUCUCUGGGCCGAUACUGACGCUGAGGAGCGAAAGCGUGGGGAGCGAACAGG
rnacentral:rRNA from 1 species